GUGGGGAAUAUUGGGCAAUGGGGGAAACCCUGACCCAGCAACGCCGCGUGAAGGAAGAAGGUUUUCGGAUCGUAAACUUCUAUCCUUGGUGAAGAUAAUGACGGUAGCCAAGAAGGAAGCCCCGGCUAACUACGUGCCAGCAGCCGCGGUAAUACGUAGGGGGCAAGCGUUGUCCGGAAUGAUUGGGCGUAAAGGGCGCGUAGGCGGCCCGGUAAGUCUGAAGUGAAAGUCCUGCUUUUAAGGUGGGAAUUGCUUUGGAUACUGUCGGGCUUGAGUGCAGGAGAGGUAAGCGGAAUUCCCGGUGUAGCGGUGAAAUGCGUAGAGAUCGGGAGGAACACCAGUGGCGAAGGCGGCUUACUGGACUGUAACUGACGCUGAGGCGCGAAAGUGUGGGGAGCAAACAGGAUUAGAUACCCUUGUAGUCC
rnacentral:rRNA from 1 species